rnacentral:rRNA from 1 species
AUGGUGAAUGUGAUAAUUAAUCUUCCCUUGAGUGGUGGGGUGGCCAUUUUUAAGAACCCGUUCAGGAGGGGUGACAACCUCCUUGUUAUGUGCGACUGCUACACACCACAAGGUGUUCCAAUCCCCACCAACAAGAGGCACAAUGCUGCCAAGAUCUUCAACACCUCGAAGGUUGGAGCUGAGGAGAGAUGGUAUGGAAUUGAGCAGGAGUACACUCUCCUCCAGAAGGAUGUGAAUUGGCCCCUUGGCUGGCCCGUUGGUGGCUACCCUGGUCCUCAGGCAAGAAAACUCUCAGCAUGCUCUCCAGCUUUCCUGUUUUUGUUAUGCAGGUUGGAAGAAAAGAAGAAGAUCCAGAGAAGAUCUUAG